rnacentral:rRNA from 1 species
UACGAAGGGGGCUAGCGUUGUUCGGAAUUACUGGGCGUAAAGAGCUCGUAGGCGGCUUGUCACGUCGGGUGUGAAAGCCCGGGGCUUAACCCCGGGUCUGCAUUCGAUACGGGCUAGCUAGAGUGUGGUAGGGGAGAUCGGAAUUCCUGGUGUAGCGGUGAAAUGCGCAGAUAUCAGGAGGAACACCGGUGGCGAAGGCGGAUCUCUGGGCCAUUACUGACGCUGAGGAGCGAAAGCGUGGGGAGCGAACAGG